AUGAGCAAGAGGCGGAAGAGGAGCAACCUCGCCGGCCGGCGUCCCCUGCCCCAACGCCGCCGUGAAAACGAAUGCGCCCGCGUCGACCUACCGGAGCUCUCCCGACACCACCUCGAGACCACCACCGAGGGCCUCUUGCUCCUGCGUGACAAGGCGAACCACGCCGUGCGGCUCCUCAACCCGCUCACCAAGGCCCUCACCGACCUCCCGCCCGUCACCGAGGACCUUGGCGGCGCGUACGCGGUCUGGUCGGGGCCGUUCCAGUCCGCGGCGCGCAUCAUCUACGCCGGCGUCUCUGACGAGACCUCCCCAUCGUCAGUGGUGCUCCUGAUGGCUGACCGUCACCUUGGGCGUGCCAUAGCCUACGCCAAUCCUGUUGACCAGCGUUGGGCGGUGGUGGAUGACGAGAUGUGGAGGCCCGGCAUCCCCAUGUCAUGUCGAUUCUCGUCGGCCUCAACCAUGCAGGGGCGCGUCUACUUUGUGACUGUCGAGGGGUACAUAAUACAGGUGAGGCUCUGCCCAGAGCCUCGUGUGGUGCCCGUGGUUGUGGACCAGCCCAACACCAAAUACAACAUGUUCUGCUACCUCGUCCCUCCCGAUGACGACCACCGCCGCGGUGGUGGCAUGCUCAUGGUGCGCUACUACCUCAACCUCUAUCACCUCAGCGAUGAAGAGCGGAGAAUCAUGACGCGCAGGAGGAAGGCCAGGGACGUCAUCAGGGUGGAGCACCUUGUGAAGGAGCACCGGUGGAACCUAAUUCAGGUGUUUGAGGUGGAUGUGGCCGGAAAGAGGCUUGUUCCGGUGGAGGACAUUGGCCGGCACCGCGCCGUGUUUGUCGGGGACGUGGCCUGCUUCUCCCUCUCUGCCAAGAGGUUUCCAUGCGUGGCAGGGAACGCGAUACACAUGGGGGCGCUUGGGGCUCGUUGCCCUCCCGUCGGCGUGCGGUAUCUGGCGGACAAGACUGCCGAUCCAUCGUUUGUGUUCGCCACCGACGUGCCAGGGCUUCUAGAUGAUAUAUCAAUGAAACGGUACCGCCAGAGGAUACCGGAGCUGAAUCUACUGCCUCUUGCUCGCCCUUGUACACUCCAAGAGUACCUUGUCUGUUGCGCUGGCGUCCUUGGCGGCCUCAAAGACUAA
rnacentral:rRNA from 1 species